CCUACGGGCGGCAGCAGUGAGGAAUAUUGGUCAAUGGGCUUACGCCUGAACCAGCCAAGUCGCGUGAGGGAAGACUGCCCUAUGGGUUGUAACCCUCUUUUGUCAGGGAGCAAUUGGCGCUACGAGUAGCGUUAUCGAGAGUACCUGAUGAAAAAGCAUCGGCAAACUCCGUGCCAGCAGCCGCUGUAUUACGGAGGAUGCGAGCGUUCUCCGGAUUUAUUGGGUUUAAGGGGUGCGUAGGCGGCAUGCCAAGUCAGCGGUAAAAUCUCGGGGCUCAACCUCGCGCGGCCGUUGAAACUGGCGUUCUUGAGUGGGCGAGAAGUAUGCGGAAUGCGUGGUGUAGCGAUGAAAUGCAGAGAUAUCACGCAGAACUCCGAUUGCGAAGGCAGCAUACCGGCGCCCAACUGACGCUGAAGCACGAAAGCGUGGGUAUCGAACAGGAUUAGAUACCCGAGUAGUC
rnacentral:rRNA from 1 species